rnacentral:rRNA from 1 species
CCUACGGGAGGCAGCAGUGGGGAAUCUUGCGCAAUGGACGAAAGUCUGACGCAGCCACGCCGCGUGAGUGAAGAAGGCCUUCGGGUCGUAAAGCUCUGUCGGAGGGGACGAACAUCAUGGGAGUUAAUAGCUCUUAUGACUGACGGUACCCUCAAAGGAAGCACCGGCUAACUUCGUGCCAGCAGCCGCGGUAAUACGAGGGGUGCAAGCGUUGCUCGGAAUUAUUGGGGCGUAAAGGGUAGGUAGGUGGUCUCGUUUAGUCUGGGGUGAAAGCCUUGAGCUUAACUCAAGAAGUGCCUCGGAAACGGCGAGACUGGAGUCUUGGAGAGGGUCGUGGAAUUCCCGGUGUAGCGGUGAAAUGCGUAGAGAUCGGGAGGAACACCAGAGGCGAAGGCGGCGACCUGGACAAGUACUGACACUCAACUACGAAAGCGUGGGGAGCAAACAGGAUUAGAUACCCUGGUAGUCCACGCUGUAAACGAUGGGUACUAGGUUUGGUGGGUCUUGACCCCGCGAACCGGCGCUAACGCAAUACGUACCGCCGUCGGAGUACGGUCGCGAGACGAAACGUACGAAGAAGUAAGUAGCGUUGAGACGUUGCGACGGACGACGACGAGGGAGGAGG